AUUGAACGCUGGCGGCAUGCUUUACACAUGCAAGUCGAACGGUAACAGGCCGCAAGUCUCUGACGAGUGGCUAACGGGUGAGUAAUGCAUCGGAACGUGCCCAGUCGUGGGGUAUAACUACUCGAAAGAGUAGCUAAUACCGCAUACGAUCUAUGGAUGAAAUCGGUGGACCGUAAGGCCUCGCGCGAUUGGAUCGGCCGAUGUCAGAUUAGGUAGUUGGUGGGGUAAAGGCUCACCAAGCCAACGAUCUGUAGCUGGUCUGAGAGGACGACCAGCGACACUGGGACUGAGACACGGACCAGAGUACUAAGGGAGGCAGCAGAGGGGAAUGUUGGACAAUGGGCGCAAGCAUGAUACAGUAAUGCGGAGUGCAGGAAGAAGGCCUUCGGGUUGUAAACUGCUUUUGUACGGAAUGAAACGGCUCUGGUUAAUACCCGGGGCUAAUGACGGUACCGUAAGAAUAAGCACCGGCUAACUACGUG
rnacentral:rRNA from 1 species